UGGGGUAUAGCUCAAUGGUAGAGCACUUGUCUGGCAUAUACAAGGCCCUGGGUUCAAUCCCUACCACAC
rnacentral:tRNA from 1 species